UUAUAAGAUUGUGGUCUAAAGGGGGUUAUUUUCUUAUCAACUGCUCAGUGUCUGGCCUAUGGACUGGUAGUUGCUCAUUAUCAACAUUGUACAGAAAGUUGUGUUCAAUGAAAUAUCAAAUACCAUGACCUUAUCAAAAAGUUCAUGUCUGCCAGAUAUAUUAUUGUGAAGGUGUCUUUUAGUUUCAAAUAAGUAGAUUUGUCAUGAACGUCUUCUAUGUUGAUUAUUUUGUGAUUUGAUUGAGUUCUUUAUAGACCUAGUGAUGCUUUACGAACUUUUAAGUGUAACUAUUUUUUGAAUUGAUUAUCAUCACAUGUGUACCACAUCAUCUUCUGUUUUCAAGACUAUUUUGUACAGGACAAGUUCUGUUUGUAAAUUAAUAAUUAACACAUGUAUAUAGUUUUCACAAUAAAGAGCAAACAUUGUUUAA